AUACAUCAGCACAAGCUAUUGCAUUGCUUUGCUCAACUGAAAAGAAGACCUGAAGUUCUUCUGGGAUUAGCAGAGCCAGUGAAAUUUCAUUUCACCUUAACUUGUGGAACCCAAGUGGAUCCUGUGAUGUCUGAUGAAUAAGAUUUCUGAGUACUUCAUCCAUUCUGAGACAACAUGGCCUUGGGAGAUCACCAAAGGGACUUACAGAUUGUAAUAAUGUGGUUUUAGUGCAUUAGAAACUAAAAUAAAUCAGUGCUCUAUGCUCCCAUUAGAACCAAACUGGGAAGCUUUCAUCACCAAAUGACACCUACCCAACUCCACCGUCUUCCCACGACAGUUGAGGGCAGUGGCCAAGUGCAAGGAAAUUCCAGGACUGCUCGGAGGCGUAUCUCAGAGAGCUCAUGUUUUAACAGGCUGCCCUUGAGAUAAUGACUCCAGGAAGCACAACUGGUGUCCUGGAAAGGCUUCUCCACUCCAAAACCUGCUUGCAGUCCUACUGUGGAUCCCACUGUGAAGGCAUUGCAACAUUGGUGUUGCUUUAUCCCACUGAAAUUCAGAGAAGCUGUGGGUGCCCCAUCCCUGGAGGUAUUCAAGGCCAGGUGGGAUGGGGCCCUGGGCAGCCUAAUCUAGUGACUGAUUUAGUAGUUGGCAUCCCUGUCAAAUGGCAGGGGGUUGGAACUAGAUGAUCUUUGAGGUCCCUUCCAAUCCAAGCCAUUCCAUGAUCCUGUGAAGUCAUUGUUAUGUUCAUGCAGCCUCCAGAGCAGGGAAGAGUGGGCCUUGGGGACAAAAUAAGGACUCUUCUUGCUUAGGGAUGCUGAAAACUGGGAUGAAUGCUGAAGGAGAGAGUAGAGCGGAGCCCUGUAUGCAGACUGUUCCAAAGUCAGACCCUAUAACUUGCUAUGGGAUGCUACAGAAACCCCUGUGAUUAGUGGCCAGGGGACAGGAGUGCAAGAGGUGGGGUGGAACAUUGCUUCUGCUUGCUCCAUCAGACAAACUCCCAUUGGAAUGUAAAUGUUUGGAAAGUCUCAGCAGCUGAGCAUCUUCUCAGGACAUCUCAGUAUCUCGAAACCUCUGUGUUAUUUGAGCCUGGGCUAUUUUUGAACCAGUUGGGCUGUCUGAGUUAAUUCCAAGCUUGCACAAGCAGCUGUCGUGGGAAAACAGAGAGGUUGAGAUGAAAGACCCGAGGCUGUGGCUGCCUCAUUGCUGCUGCUGCUGGGAACAGCUCUGUGCCAUCGCAGCCUCUUCAGCUCCCACCACUCCCAGCCCUUCCACAAACCUCCAGACAAAGCUCCUUUAUUGCAAGGCCAGAGCAGGGAGGGGAAACACAGGGCCGUGAAAGCUGCAGCUAUAUUAAGCCAUGGAAAACCACAAGAAUAAGUGCCUGUAAUCCCAGCCACACUGAACCUGUCUGCUGACUUCCUCUCCAAACCCAAUCUCAAACCUGACCCAGGUGGGAAAAUGCCUGUGGUUGUGACCAUCCCCCUCUGAAAACACAAAGCCAGGCAUUUAUCUGAGCGGUUGAUUGCAAAGCUCUGCACUGCAAUUUGCUCCGCUCUGCAAAAUAACAAAGCCAAGACGCUGCAGGUAACAGCCAGGCCAAGAAGUCUGCGAGUUUCAUUCCCUACAAGUGAGUUUUGGCACAGUAGCUACUUCACACCCAAUUAAUUACUUCAGCACCAGAUUAUACUUGCAGGCUCCAAUAGGAGUGAUAAUAGGAACCAAUUAAAUUAAUUUAUAUUUACUUUGUAAGCAUAUUUUCCUUUGGUAAAUCUUUGCUUUAAUUUGACAGAUUGGACUCCAGUAUUUUGUUUUUGUUACGAGAUAUGGUCCUAAAUCCAGGGGAACAAAUCCAAACCUGUAAAGCCAAGAAGUCUUUCCCUUUCAGGUUUAAAAACAUGUAGGACAGGGAUUUAAAAAAAAAAAAAAAAAAAAAAAAAAGAAGUAAUAAAAUGUAUGCACGUGCCCA
ensembl:lncRNA